CCUACGGGUGACAGCAGUGAGGAAUAUUGGUCAAUGGGCGCGAGCCUGAACCAGCCAAGUAGCGUGAAGGAUGACUGCCCUACGGGUUGUAAACUUCUUUUAUAAAGGAGUAAACUGAGACACGUGUGCCUUUUUGUAUGUACUUUAUGAAUAAGGAUCGGCUAACUCCGUGCCAGCAGCCGCGGUAAUACGGAGGAUCCGAGCGUUAUCCGGAUUUAUUGGGUUUAAAGGGAGCGUAGAUGGGUUGUUAAGUCAGUUGUGAAAGCUUGGGGCUCAACCGUAAAAUUGCAAUUGAUACUGGCAGGCUUGAGUACAGUUGAGGUAGGCGGAAUUCGUGGUGUAGCGGUGAAAUGCUUAGAUAUCACGAAGAACUCCGAUUGCGAAGGCAGCCUACUAAACUUCCACUGACAUUGAUGCGCGAAAGUGUGGGUAUCAAACAGGAUUAGAUACCCCGGUAGUC
rnacentral:rRNA from 1 species